rnacentral:rRNA from 1 species
UACCAGCACCCCGAGUGGUCGGGACGUUUUAUUGGGCCUAAAGCAUCCGUAGCCGGUUCUACAAGUCUUCCGUUAAAUCCAGCUGCUUAACAGAUGGGCUGCGGAAGAUACUAUGGAGCUAGGAGGCGGGAGAGGCAAGCGGGUACUCGAUGGGUAGGGGUAAAAUCCGUUGAUCCAUUGAAGACCACCAGUGGCGAAGGCGGCUUGCCAGAACGCGCUCGACGGUGAGGGAUGAAAGCUGGGGGAG